AUUUUUGUUUAGCGUUAUUUUUGAAUAGUUUCCUAAAUCUGUUAUAUGAUGCGAAAUAUAUUAAUACCGAUUCUCCCAUUUUGUCGAGAAUUGAUCAGUGUAGAAAAAAGGAUUCUCAAUAUGCAAACGGUUCGUCAUAGGGCAGAUAUUACAUGCGCAAAACCGAUAUGCGAGGUGUCAAUAUAGAGUUUAAAGUUGGAAUGAAUUAGAGAUGAUAAAGAUCCAGUUUAAGAAAUAUGUUCAUAAACUUUAUUGAGAAAAU